ensembl:lincRNA linc-109 ncRNA
GUUUGAACAUUUCGAUUAUUUUUGUUUUUCCUUUUUUUCUCUUCCGUUAGUUUUCUCGAUUUUUCUGGAGAUUCGGUUUAAUCCGGUUUUUUUUUGCGAAAAUUUAAUUCCAAAAUGUGCCAACUGUAAAGGCGCACAUCUUCUACCCUUGCAUGGGUUCUGCAACGAUCAAAGUCAGUUUGAGAGAAGUGAGCAUGUGCCUUUAAAAAUUACUGUAAUUUCAAACUUUCCUGCGAAGUUUCUCUCGAGUUUUGUUAAAAUUUAAGUGUUUUAUUGCUAUAUUUAAUUUUAAAAAAAGCGAAUGUUAAUUUCUUCGAAAAUUUUUUUUAAACAAUUGAUGAAAAUUUAUGCUCCACAGCAACAAAAGUUUGAUAUAUAGUACUAUUUAAAGGCGCAUACCUUUUCAAAAUUAAAAAAUUUUUGCCGUGUCGAGACCCAAAACCAGGCUUCGUAUUUGUUACUCAAAAAUCGAAACAUUUCGUGGGUUAAAAAAUACUUUUAAGGGUUUUUGAGACAAUUUAACUCCCGAUAUUUCAAGAAAUAUUCCAUUUCUUCUCCAUUUUCAAAUUUUCAAAGAAAUACACGUAAUAAGUGGGCGGAGUCUAGCACAACGGAGUGUCGUUUACAACAAAAAACAACUGAACAAUUCAUAAUUCUCGACCCCCACGGGAGGGCAUAAUUCGUAUGCAAACUGGUUCUCUGGUCGCUUGGAGAAGGUUUUUUUUUCAAAAAAAAAAAAUAAAAACAACACAACCAAUCAGCGAUUUGCGCCGCCCACUUUUCAACCAAUCAGAUGGAGUGGGCGGAGUUCUAGGACCCUGAUUGGUUUGAAUGUAGGCAGGGCUUCUCAUUUUUGAGGUAAUUCAGAAACGGGAAAUUAGCAAAAAUUAAAAAAUCUUAUUUUUCUCGAAUUUUAAUACUCUGGCAAUAUUCAAAAAAUUAAAUUAUUUUUAAAAUUUUUAAUUGAUACUUUGAACUCUUCUAGAACCCCAAAUAUUUUUCGGCCACAAAAAUCACAAACUACGACUCAAUAUCUCAUGUGUGUCCCUUUAAAAAGUAAACUCAAAACGGCCUGUAAAUAGAAGAGUUCUUCUGGGCUCAACAAAGUUUAUUUUAGAAAGACUAAAACGUGUAAAUACACAUUGUGAGUUACAAAAGUGUUCACUCUAUUUGCCAUUCUUUUCCUAUUUUUCUCAACAAAAAAAGUUUGGCAGACUACGAACCAGGUGACCGUGGAGACUACAAGUUUUUUGAGGUUUUUUUUCGGAACAUAACUGAUUGCACCUCAUGGGGACCGAACAUUUUCUGAUGUUUAGAAAUUGUGGUUUAUUUUUGGAGUUUUGAAAAUCAAAGUUUAGGAACAUUUUUUGAAAAAUUGAAAUUAUUGCUUUUUUUUAGAAAAAAGCUUGAAUUGUAACUUGAAAUAUUUGAAUUUUUUUCAAUUUUCAUUUAAAAAAACAAAUUGUUUCAGACAAGAGUACCGAAAAUAACACUAUUUGAUGUUUUUUUAAUGCAAAAAAAGUUCAAAAAAAUAUCCGAAAAUUCAAUUUUUUCAAAAAAAAAUCUAUAAAAUUUAUAAAAAAAUUAAUUUACCAGUUUCAGUGAAUUUGCCCAAAGGAGAAAUGUGCCUUCAAACACUGUUUGUGGCCUAGAAAAAGCUUCACAAAAAAAAUGAAAAAAAAAAUCAAAUUUUUCGGAAUUUGCCACAUUUUCGAUUUUUGAAAAUAUUACACUCAAAAUAAAAAACUGUGUGGCGUGUACCAGGGGUGUGCGGCAAAUUUGCCGAUUUGCCGAAAAUUGCCGACUUGCCGAAUUCGGCAAAUUUAAAGAAACCAGCAAUUGCCGAUUUGCCGAGCACGGCAAGUUUCAAAAAAGUAGAUUUGCCGAAUUUGCCGAGCUCGGCAAAUUUCGAAAUUUGCCGCACACGUCAAAAAUUUUACAGUACAAUUUUGACUAAAAUUAUUGAUUUUUUCGCCAAAAAUUUAGUAAAAUGACACAAAAUUGAGUUAGUUUUAUGCUUAAGCAGACAAACUACACGGAACUAAUUCAGAAACCAGAUGUGUGUUAAGAAUUCGGUAGUUUUGGUGUUCCAAAAAACAUCAAAAAUUAUCAAAAUUUUCCGAGUUUGUUAAGCACGGCAAAUUUGCCGAAUUCGCCGUGCUCGGCAAAUAUUGAAAAAAGAGAUUUGCCGAAUUUGCCGAGCCCGGCAAAUUUUGAAAAACCAGCAAUUGCCGAUUUGCCGAGCUCGGCAAUUUUUUCCAUUUGCCGCACACCCCUGGCGUGUUUAGGCCCCGCCUUUUUCUCGUCCACUCAAGGGAAAAGGCAAAAAUUUGGGGACCAACCAAUAUCAGGCCGCCGACAUCCUACGGGUUCCGUGCGCCGCUAUGUUUAACUCGCAACGGGCGGAGACAGCUCGCCACGCCGAUUUUAACCGAUUUUUGCCAGAAGUUUGAAUUUUCCAGAUGGUGGCCGAGUUUUUCCACUUUUCUAGGCCACGUAGUCAAUUCUGACUGUCCAGGGCUCAUCCUCAUGACCUUCAUGUAAUCGGGAGGAGGCACGAUUUUUGAGUUCUAGAGCCAAAUGAGCUGAAUUUCCAGAGAUCUCUCUUAAAUCAUUUUCAACUCCAAAAAAUCCCAAAUUUCCGGUGUGAAUCAUUUCAAAUGUUCCUUCCUACUCCUUCUUAUCUUAUCUAUCUUUUGCAUUACGGUUGUUUUUGUUUUUUACACAUUCUUUUCACUCAUUUAGGCGGUCUUCUCCUUGUAAACAUUCCAGUUACAAAGUAGAUGCCUUCCCUCAUUUCUCACCAAAUUUUAUUUUACCAGUUUCAGUGAAUUUGCCCAAAGGAGAAAUGUGCCUUGAAAAACACUGGCUUAGGUCAACAAGUUUGCUAUGUGGCCUGGAAAAAACUAGGCCUCUGAUGCAUUUUGCGGCCACGUAGCAAAAUCAGACGCUGCUCUAUCUAUUUAAAAAGUUCUAUUACCCAGACUGCGGAAUUUUGCGAUUUUUGAGCCAAAACACUGUACUUGGUCUCGAAAGGACAAUAUUUUCAGUGACAUGCUGAAAAGUGGCCGCCUUUAAAGAGUACUGUACCCUUCAAACUUUUUUGAAUUUCUUAUGUUAAAUAACAACAUUUAUAUUCAUCACUUUCCCCCCCCCCCCCCCCUCCACCAAAAAAAUUUCACGCAGUCCACACAUUUCGUUAUGCCUGUCUGUGUGUUGUGUGUACUCGUGCUCUCUGAGCCGAAACCCUUUCGCGCCCUCCAACCUCAACUCAACCCAAUUUACUCUGUGCCUUUGCUCUUCGAGUCGACUGACUGACUGGUAUAUUUACUUAGACCAUCGAAAUCGACUGGCGGCGGCAGCAGGAGGAUGACUGAAGAAUUUUUCGUGUCUUUUCGGCAUCCCCCUCCUCCUACACUAACACAGGAUUAUUGGUUUCGAAACUGCUAUUUACCACAUUUUUUGAUGAUUUUUCCCGAUUUUUCCCGGUCUUUUUUGGGCCAGGUUUUGAAAUUCUGAAGUACUUUCUAAUAAAAUAUGCUAAUUUU